AAUAGAUACCCUGGUAGUCCACGCUGUAAACGUUGGACACUAGGUGUGGCGGUCUGAUCAACGACUGCCGUGCCGAAGCUAACGCAUUAAGUGUCCCGCCUGGGGAGUACGGCCGCAAGGCUAAAACUCAAAGGAAUUGACGGGUCCCCGCACAAGCGGCGGAGCAUGCGGCUUAAUUCGAUGCAACCCGAAGAACCUUACCUGGGUUUGACAUCAUGGGAAAAGCCGUGGAAACACGGUGUCCGUAAGGGCCCAUGACAGGUGGUGCAUGGCUGUCGUCAGCUCGUGUCGUGAGAUGUUGGGUUGAGUCCCGCAACGAGCGCAACCCUUGUCCUAUGUUGCCAGCGGUUCGGCCGGGGACUCAUAGGAGACUGCCGGGGAUAACUCGGAGGAAGGUGAGGACGAUGUCAAGUCAUCAUGCCCCUUAUAUCCAGGGCUGCGCGCAUGCUACAAUGGUCGGUACAACGGGCAGCGAUCCUGCGAAGGUGAGCGAAUCCCGACAAAACCGGCCUCAGUUCGGAUUGG
rnacentral:rRNA from 1 species